GUGAAGAUCUUAUAAUAAAAGGAAAGCAGUCAAUAUUAAAAAGAAAAAUAAGAGAGAGGAGAGACGGCUUCUUGUCUUUACCAUGUUUUUAUGUGUCCAUGGAAAACAACGCGGCUCCCGACAUUCAGUCCAUCCUAUUCCUAAACCCAUAACUACUUUAAUCGUUGCAGCUUUGGGUUCAUCUCCUUCCCUAGCUUUUCUUUAUUUUCUCUGAUUUUGUCUUUAUCUCUUCAAAGAUGCCGUCUAAUUCCCUUUCUUUAUUUUCUCUGAA
rnacentral:misc_RNA from 1 species